rnacentral:rRNA from 1 species
ACGGAGGGUGCAAGCGUUGUUCGGAAUUAUUGGGCGUAAAGAGCGUGUAGGCGGCUCGUCAAGUCUGAUGUGAAAGCCCUGGGCUCAACCCAGGAAGUGCAUUGGAAACUGGCGAACUUGAGUACGGGAGAGGAAAGUGGAAUUUCGAGUGUAGGGGUGAAAUCCGUAGAUAUUCGAAGGAACACCAGUGGCGAAGGCGGCUUUCUGGACCGAUACUGACGCUGAGACGCGAAAGCGUGGGGAGCAAACAGG